rnacentral:lncRNA from 1 species
GCUAAGUUUUACUUUCUUCCCUGAGAGAAAGAGUAAGGAACAGCUGUAUGAUCUAUGCAAUAGUUGAUGCAAAACUACAUCGAAUCCCCAUGCUGUUUGCCAGUCUUUGUCUAUUGAUAUCAGUAAAAGCAACAUGACUUGGUUUCUCAAACAUACAAGUGAGAUCACUCUCCUCAUGAGCAACAUGCAACAUGCUGGAAGACCAACAGCAGAGUGCAGUGGAGGAAGUCCUAGAAGAACUUCUGUGAAAAAUUCCUUGUAAUUGUCCUGACCUGUAAUGAUUAAAUGGCUUUUACUUUGACUGGUGCCUCCCAAAUUGACUGUCCUUGCUGGCCUUGAGGGAUGGUAAAAUUCAACUG